rnacentral:rRNA from 1 species
GACGAACGCUGGCGGCGUGCUUAACACAUGCAAGUCGAACGAAAAUACCAAGCUUGCUUGGUUGAUUAGUGGCGAACGGGUGAGUAACACGUGAGUAACCUGCCCCUUACUUUCCUGGAUAACUGCUCGAAAGGGUAGCUAAUACGGGAUAUUCUGACUAGCCUGCAUGGGUUGGUUUGGAAAGGUUGUUUUUCUGGUAAGGGAUGGGCUCGCGGCCUAUCAGCUUGUUGGUGGGGUGAUGGCCUACCAAGGCUUUGACGGGUAGCCGGCCUGAGAGGGUGGACGGUCACACUGGGACUGAGAUACGGCCCAGACUCCUACGGGAGGCAGCAGUGGGGAAUAUUGCACAAUGGGCGCAAGCCUGAUGCAGCGACGCCGCGUGAGGGAUGGAGGCCUUCGGGUUGUAAACCUCUUUCGUCAGGGAACAAGGCACUGUCUUUUUGGUGGUGUUGAGGGUACCUGGAUAAGAAGCGCCGGCUAACUACGUGCCAGCAGCCGCGGUAAUACGUAGGGCGCAAGCGUUGUCCGGAAUUAUUGGGCGUAAAGAGCUCGUAGGCGGCUGGUCGCGUCUGUCGUGAAAACUUCCGGCUCAACCGGGGGCUUGCGGUGGGUACGGGCCGGCUAGAGUGCGGUAGGGGUAACUGGAACUCCUGGUGUAGCGGUGGAAUGCGCAGAUAUCAGGAAGAACACCGAUGGCGAAGGCAGGUUACUGGGCCGUUACUGACGCUGAGGAGCGAAAGCGUGGGGGAGCGAACAGG